rnacentral:miRNA from 9 species
UGAGAUUCUUCUAUUCUACUUU